GGGGAAUAUUGGACAAUGGGCGGAAGCCUGAUCCAGCAACGCCGCGUGAGGGAUGACGGCCUUCGGGUUGUAAACCUCUUUCAGUACUGACGAAGCGCAAGUGACGGUAGGUACAGAAGAAGCACCGGCCAACUACGUGCCAGCAGCCGCGGUAAUACGUAGGGUGCGAGCGUUGUCCGGAAUUAUUGGGCGUAAAGGGCUCGUAGGCGGUUUGUCGCGUCGGGAGUGAAAACCUCAUGCUUAACAUGUGGCUUGCUUUCGAUACGGGCAGACUUGAGGCAUGCAGGGGAGAACGGAAUUCCUGGUGUAGCGGUGAAAUGCGCAGAUAUCAGGAGGAACACCGGUGGCGAAGGCGGUUCUCUGGGCAUGUUCUGACGCUGAGGAGCGAAAGUGUGGGGAGCGAAC
rnacentral:rRNA from 1 species